UGUUUCCCUUCCCUUACCUGGAAAAACAGGACACCAAUUCUUUUUUCCCCCCUCUUCUCAAGUCUUGUUGUUUUACCCAGACUUCCCUUUUUUGUGUGUCACUUGGAGGAGUAGUUUGGUUCCCGAUACUAUACUCAGUAGACAGUUUCCACCAAUUUAAACAAUCUUUCUAGGUACAAGCAUGUAAAACAAAUGUCAAAGAAUCAUUAGGAAUGGGUCAUGGAUAUUAGCCACCUUGCCUCUCUUAUUCCCAGUGUGUUUGGUCAUUAUGACUGGACUAACUUGUCUGCAAUGUGCAGACAAACAAAGUGCAGCCCUGCCAAUUUACCUUUUGCUUCUGUAUCAGCAAGGAAUGGAAUUAGCUUUUAAGUUUGAGAAAGCUGAACAAAUAAUGACCUAAAAAAUGGAAGUUCAGUGUAAGGGAGUUGUUGGCAUUGGUCCAACUGUUCAAAAUGUCAAGAAGAACCCAGGUUCUUUUCAUUCCUCUUCUGCCCUUCUUAGAGGAUUGGAUUUUCAUCUAUUUUUUGGUUUCAAGAUGGCUGCCACAAUACCAGUCAUGUUAUCCAAGUUCAAGGCAAAGAAGAAGGUGGAAAAUGGGAAGGGUAGUACUAAUUAGGACUUUUCUUCUUUUGGCAGCAAAGGAAAUCUGCCCAGUGGCCCUCCAACAGAUUUCUCCACGUACCUAACUGGCCGCAACAUUGCCUCCCUACAUUUAAUGGAUGUUGCGAAACGUAGAAAGCCUUGCAGAAGGACCCGGAGAGAUGGUGACCCAGCAUCUGCUCCGUCACUGACGUGAAGAAAGGUUUUCAAGUUCUUUAAAGCUUCCCAGAACAUCUCCCUCAGUCUUCACUUCUCCUGAUGAGGAGGACAUGGAUACCCUUUGGGUGAGGCCAAUGGAAGUCCACUUAGAAAAACAAGUCAGAGUGGAGCUGAACAUGAGCUGGAGACAGAUGUUUGGACACAGCAGGAGAGCCCUGGGCUUGUAGUCCAAAGCUGGCCCACCUGGCUCUGCCCACUCACUUUGGAACUUUGAGUAGGUUGCUGCUGAGCUUCAACCAUCUUCAUUCUGCUGACAUGAGCCCAAGGGAUGCUGGGACUGCUGGCGCACAGGCCAUCCACCAUCUUGCCAUUGGAAGGAUUCAAAGCAGCUUUAAAGAAUACUGAAAAUCCUGCAAACUAACAAAUUAAAUGCAGGUGCAGAAGAGAACCACCCUGGCCUCAAUGGCACCUUCGACGGUGAUGAAGAAAAUGUUGAUUCCUGACUCUCUUGCCAACCUCGAAGCCUCCUCCACCUUGUCCGUGGGCCAGCCAUCCACAAUCACCACGGCCACGUUGGGAGCACCGCCUCUGUUCCCAUUCGCUUUGGAAAAGAAGUUCUUGGUCACGUAGGAGAUGGCCCGACCUGGAAGAAACAGAGAACCCAUACUUGGAGUGACUGUGAUCACAUGGGAUGUUAGGAGACAAUUACACGGAGGGAGAACCAUGGAAGCAAAAUAGAAUGACCUGAAUUCGGAUUGCAUACCUGCGUUUGAAAGCCCUCCUCUCUGGGUGAUUUUGUCGAUGGCAGUCUUCAGAUCCCGGGAAUUCAUGUGAGUCCUGAGGCUAAAUUGGGCAGCAGGGUUGUCUCUGAAGAGUGAGAAUGAGAAAUAAAAAUUAGCUGGAAAGUUACUAUCUUUGGAGGAAAGCAGAAAUCAGAGUCGAUUCUUUUAUAUACAAAUAGAAAGGAAGCAUCUUCAAAGCCUGAAGCUGUGUUUUAUAAAAUCCCCAUUAUGGACAGAAGGAAUGGUAAGCUGGGAGGGCUGGGGUCCUCCUCAGUGUGUGUAGAGAAAAUGGUCUGUUCCAGGACUCAGGGUUCUAGUUUUGGCUGUGCUGCUUCCUUGCUGUGUGACCUUGGGAGGUCACUUAACUUCUCUGGGCUUCAGUUUCCUCAUCUAGGUAAAAGGAAAGAUCACAAUAUUGCUAAAAAAACAGGACAAUUGUCAAGUGGGAUUUUGCAAAUGUCAGGGUGUCCCCAGGCUGCCCCAGACCCUCCUCUCCAGGGAGAAAAUCGCAGCCAAUAGCCACUCCCCAGGUUACCCCUACACUGGAAUUGCAUCUUAACUGUGGUAUCUAGGAGAAGACAUCCUUUCAUGUUUUCAUUUUAUGGUUCCUGUGACUGGGUGAGAAUAUUCAAAUCUUACCCAGAAGGUUGACAUCUGUUAACCAAAAGGUCAGCUGGAGAGAAGUGGAGUAAAUUAAGUAGAGAAACAGAAUGAGAAUCCUUCUCUAGAGAGGAGUCCCUGCAGGUAAGCUGGGCAGAUAGGCAUGGAAGCAGCUGAGCAAGGGUGUGGGCGUGUUUCAUGACCAGGUGGGAAGGGGGCCAGGAGGGAGGGGGCUCCGUCAGGCCCUUGAUGAAGUGGGGAUGCAUAGUAAAAGCACAUCUCACAAAGCACCGACACUCAGCCAUGGGCAAGGCUUCAAGUGAGUGUGACCCCCAAGGUCCAACGGGACCCCACACUCCAGAAGAGCCUGCACUUGGUUCCCUGCUCCAUGCUGCCAUCUUGAAAUCCUUAAUUUUUGAAAAUAGGGCUCUGCAAAUUAUGUAGCAGGUCAUACCUGCAGGUGACUGAGCCUUCAAGGGGAGGGAAAAGCCUUUUUUUUUAAAAAGUAGACUCCACACCCAGUGUGGAGCCCAAUGUGGGGCUUGAACUCAAGACCCUGAGACCAAGAUCUGAGCUGAGAUUGAGAGUUGGCUGCUUCACUGAUUGAGCCACCCAGGUGCCCCCGAACUUUUUUUUUUUUUUUUUUUUUUUGA